GUCGAACGGCAGCACAGGAGAGCUUGCUCUCUGGGUGGCGAGUGGCGGACGGGUGAGGAAUACAUCGGAAUCUACUUUUUCGUGGGGGAUAACGUAGGGAAACUUACGCUAAUACCGCAUACGACCUACGGGUGAAAGCAGGGGAUCUUCGGACCUUGCGCGAUUGAAUGAGCCGAUGUCGGAUUAGCUAGUUGGCGGGGUAAAGGCCCACCAAGGCGACGAUCCGUAGCUGGUCUGAGAGGAUGAUCAGCCACACUGGAACUGAGACACGGUCCAGACUCCUACGGGAGGCAGCAGUGGGGAAUAUUGGACAAUGGGCGCAAGCCUGAUCCAGCCAUACCGCGUGGGUGAAGAAGGCCUUCGGGUUGUAAAGCCCUUUUGUUGGGAAAGAAAUCCAGCCGGCUAAUACCUGGUUGGGAUGACGGUACCCAAAGAAUAAGCACCGGCUAACUUCGUGCCAGCAGCCGCGGUAAUACGAAGGGUGCAAGCGUUACUCGGAAUUACUGGGCGUAAAGCGUGCGUAGGUGGUUAUUUAAGUCCGUUGUGAAAGCCCUGGGCUCAACCUGGGAACUGCAGUGGAUACUGGAUGACUAGAAUGUGGUAGAGGGUAGCGGAAUUCCUGGUGUAGCAGUGAAAUGCGUAGAGAUCAGGAGGAACAUCCAUGGCGAAGGCAGCUACCUGGACCAACAUUGACACUGAGGCACGAAAGCGUGGGGAGCAAACAGGAUUAGAUACCCUG
rnacentral:rRNA from 1 species